rnacentral:rRNA from 1 species
UGGGGAAUCUUCCGCAAUGGACGAAAGUCUGACGGAGCAACGCCGCGUGUAUGAUGAAGGUCUUCGGAUUGUAAAGUACUGUCAUUGGGGAAGAACGGUUUUCUUGAAAAGAUUGAGAAGACAUGACGGUACCCAAGGAGGAAGCCCCGGCUAACUACGUGCCAGCAGCCGCGGUAAUACGUAGGGGGCAAGCGUUGUCCGGAAUUAUUGGGCGUAAAGGGCGCGUAGGCGGGCCUUUAAGUCCGGUGUGAAAGAUCAGGGCUCAACCCUGAGAGUGCAUCGGAAACUGGAGGCCUUGAGGACAGGAGAGGAAAGUGGAAUUCCACGUGUAGCGGUGAAAUGCGUAGAUAUGUGGAGGAACACCAGUGGCGAAGGCGACUUUCUGGACUGUAACUGACGCUGAGGCGCGAAAGCGUGGGGAGCAAAACAGGAUUAGAUACCCUGGUAGUCCACGCCCGUAAACGAUGAGUGCUAGGUGUAGAGGGUAUCGACCCCUUCUGUGCCGCAGUUAA